rnacentral:rRNA from 1 species
CCCUUAGAUGUUCUGGGCCGCACGCGCGCUACACUGACGGAGGCAGCGAGCGUGUCCUUCGCCGGCAGGUGCGGGCAAUCUUGCGAGUCUCCGUCGUGCUGGGGAUAGAUGGUUGCAAUUGUCGAUCUUGAACGAGGAAUUCCUAGUAAGCGCGAGUCAUCAGCUCGCGCUGAUUACGUCCCUGCCCUUUGUACACACCGCCCGUCGCUACUACGGAGUGCCCGUGUCCAAGAAACGGUCGGACCUGUGCGGCCUCUCCGGGCGACCGGAGGGCCGUUACGGGGAAGACCCUUUAUUUGACGCGGGUCGAUGAAGUAAAAGUCGUAACA